GCAUGUCUAUGCACACGCCCUUGAUUGGUGAAGCCGCGAAAAGCUCAUUACAACAGCCAUAGUUUAUUGGAUCUUUACGUUCCUACAAGGAUAUCUGCGGUAAUUCUGGAGCUAAUACUUGCGAAAAACGGCGACCUUACGGAAGUCGUGCAUUUGUUAGACUAAACCAAUCGGUCUUUCGGGACCGUCAUUUGGUGAACUCUGAAUAACUCAGCUGAUCGCACAGUCUCGUACUGGCGACAAAUCCUUCAAGUGUCUGCCUUAUCAACUGUCGAUGGUAGUUUACACGACUACCAUGGUUGUAACGGGUAACGGAGAAUAAGGGUUCGACUCCGGAGAGGGAGCCUGAGAAACGGCUACCACAUCCAAGGAAGGCAGCAGGCGCGCAAAUUACCCACUCUCAGAACGAGGAGGUAGUGACGAAAAAUAACGAGGUGGCCCUCUUUGAGGUCCAUCAUCGGAAUGGGUACAAUUUAAAUCCUUUAACGAGGAUCUAUUGGAGGGCAAGUCUGGUGCCAGCAGCCGCGGUAAUUCCAGCUCCAAUAGCGUAUACUAAAGUUGUUGCGGUUAAAAAGCUCGUAGUUGGAUCUGCGCCAGGUGGAAGCGGUCGCCCGAUGGGUUGUUACUGCUUACCUCUGGCUAACCAUUCGGUUUUCCCUUGAUGCUCUUAAAUGAGUGUCCUGGGUGACCGGAACGUUUACUUUGAAAAAAUUAGAGUGCUCAAAGCAGGCAUUUCGCCCGAAUAUUCGUGCAUGGAAUAAUAAAAGAGGUCCUUGUAGCCUUUUAUUGGUUAUCGCUACGAGGAAAUGAUCGAAGGGGACAGACGGGGGCAUUUGUAUUGCGACGUUAGAGGUGAAAU
rnacentral:rRNA from 1 species